rnacentral:lncRNA from 1 species
ACUGACUCAUUCUUAGAGCCCCUUCCCUUGGAAUAUUAAUGGAUACAAUAGUAAUUAUUCAUGGUUCUGCGUAACAGAGAAGACCCACUUAUGUGUAUGCCUUUAUCAUUGCUCCUAGAUAGUGUGAACUACCUACCACCUUGCAUUAAUAUGUAAAACACUAAUUGCCCAUAGUCCCACUCAUUAGUCUAGGAUGUCCUCUUUGCCAUUGCUGCUGAGUUCUGACUACCCAAGUUUCCUUCUCUUAAACAGUUGAUAUGCAUAAUUGCAUAUAUUCAUGGUUCUGUGCAAUAAAAAUGGAUUCUCACCCCAUCCCACCUUCUGUGGGAUGUUGCUAACGAGUGCAGAUUAUUCAAUAACAGCUCUUGAACAGUUAAUUUGCACAGUUGCAAUUGUCCAGAGUCCUGUCCAUUAGAAAGGGACUCUGUAUCCUAUUUGCACGCUACAAUGUGGGCUGAUCACCCAAGGACUCUUCUUGUGCAUUGAUGUUCAUAAUUGUAUUUGUCCACGAUCUUGUGCACUAACCCUUCCACUCCCUUUGUAUUCCAGCAGGGGACCCUUACUACUCAAGACCUCUGUACUAGGACAGUUUAUGUGCACAAUCCUAAUUGAUUAGAACUGAGUCUUUUAUAUCAAGGUCCCUGCAUCAUCUUUGCUUUACAUCAAGAGGGUGCUGGUUACCUAAUGCCCCUCCUCCAGAAAUUAUUGAUGUGCAAAAUGCAAUUUCCCUAUCUGCUGUUAGUCUGGGGUCUCAUCCCCUCAUAUUCCUUUUGUCUUACAGCAGGGGGUACUUGGGACUGUUAAUGCGCAUAAUUGCAAUUAUGGUCUUUUCCAUUAAAUUAAGAUCCCAACUGCUCACACCCUCUUAGCAUUACAGUAGAGGGUGCUAAUCACAAGGACAUUUCUUUUGUACUGUUAAUGUGCUACUUGCAUUUGUCCCUCUUCCUGUGCACUAAAGACCCCACUCACUUCCCUAGUGUUCAGCAGUGGAUGACCUCUAGUCAAGACCUUUGCACUAGGAUAGUUAAUGUGAACCAUGGCAACUGAUCACAACAAUGUCUUUCAGAUCAGAUCCAUUUUAUCCUCCUUGUUUUACAGCAAGGGAUAUUAAUUACCUAUGUUACCUUUCCCUGGGACUAUGAAUGUGCAAAAUUCCAAUGUUCAUGGUCUCUCCCUUUAAACCUAUAUUCUACCCCUUUUACAUUAUAGAAAGGGAUGCUGGAAACCCAGAGUCCUUCUCUUGGGACUCUUAAUGUGUAUUUCUAAUUAUCCAUGACUCUUAAUGUGCAUAUUUUCAAUUGCCUAAUUGAUUUCAAUUGUCUAAGACAUUUCAAAUGUCUAAUUGAUUAGAACUGAGUCUUUUAUAUCAAGCUAAUAUCUAGCUUUUAUAUCAAGCUAAUAUCUUGACUUCUCAGCAUCAUAGAAGGGGGUACUGAUUUCCUAAAGUCUUUCUUGAAUUUCUAUUAUGCAAAAUUGCCCUGAGGCCGGGUGUGGUGGCUCACACCUGUAAUCCCAGCACUUUGGGAGGCUGAGGUGGGAAGAUCCCUUACUGCCAGGAGUUUGAGACCAGCCUGGCCAACAUUAAAAAAAAAAAAAAGUAAGACAAUUGCCCUGGAAUCCCAUCCCCCUCACACCUCCUUGGCAAAGCAGCAGGAGUGCUAACUAGCUAGUGCUUCUUCUCUUAUACUGCUUAAAUGCGCAUAAUUAGCAGUAGUUGAUGUGCCCCUAUGUUAGAGUAGAAUCCCGCUUCCUUGCUCCAUUUGCAUUACUGCAGGAGCUUCUAACUAGCCUGAAUUCACUCUCUUGGACUGUUAAUGUGCAUACUUAUAUUUGCUGCUGUACUUUUUUACCAUGUAAGGACCCCACCCACUGUAUUUACAUCCCAGCUGGAAGUACCUACUACUUAAGACCCUUAGACUAGUAAAGUUAGCGUGCAUAAUCUUAGGUGUUAUAUACACAUUUUCAGUUGCAUACAGUUGUGCCUUUUAUCAGGACUCCUGUACUUAUCAAAGCAGAGAGUGCUAAUCAAUAUUAAGCCCUUCUCUUCGAACUGUAGAUGGCAUGUAAUUGCAGUUGUCAAUGGUCCUUCAAUUAGACUUGGGUUUCUGACCUAUCACACCCUCUUUGCUUUAUUGCAUGGGGUACUAUUCACUUAAGGCCCCUUUCUCAAACUGUUAAUGUGCCUAAUGACAAUUACAUCAGUAUCCUUCCUUUUGAAGGACAGCAUGGUUGGUGACACCUAAGGCCCCAUUUCUUGGCCUCCCAAUAUGUGUGAUUGUAUUUGUCGAGGUUGCUAUGCACUAGAGAAGGAAAGUGCUCCCCUCAUCCCCACUUUUCCCUUCCAGCAGGAAGUGCCCACCCCAUAAGACCCUUUUAUUUGGAGAGUCUAGGUGCACAAUUGUAAGUGACCACAAGCAUGCAUCUUGGACAUUUAUGUGCGUAAUCGCACACUGCUCAUUCCAUGUGAAUAAGGUCCUACUCUCCGACCCCUUUUGCAAUACAGAAGGGUUGCUGAUAACGCAGUCCCCUUUUCUUGGCAUGUUGUGUGUGAUUAUAAUCGUCUGGGAUCCUAUGCACUAGAAAAGGAGGGUCCUCUCCACAUACCUCAGUCUCACCUUUCCCUUCCAGCAGGGAGUGCCCACUCCAUAAGACUCUCACAUUUGGACAGUCAAGGUGCGUAAUUGUUAAGUGAACACAACCAUGCACCUUAGACAUGGAUUUGCAUAACUACACACAGCUCAACCUAUCUGAAUAAAAUCCUACUCUCAGACCCCUUUUGCAGUACAGCAGGGGUGCUGAUCACCAAGGCCCUUUUUCCUGGCCUGGUAUGCGUGUGAUUAUGUUUGUCCCGGUUCCUGUGUAUUAGACAUGGAAGCCUCCCCUGCCACACUCCACCCCCAAUCUUCCUUUCCCUUCCGGCAGGGAGUGCCCUCUCCAUAAGACGCUUACGUUUGGACAAUCAAGGUGCACAGUUGUAAGUGACCACAGGCAUACACCUUGGACAUUAAUGUGCAUAACCACUUUGCCCAUUCCAUCUGAAUAAGGUCCUACUCUCAGACCCCUUUUGCAGUACAGCAGGGGUGCUGAUCACCAAGGCCCCUUUUCUUGGCCUGUUAUGUGCGUGAUUAUAUUUGUCUGGGUUCCUGUGUAUUAGACAAGGAAGCCUUCCCCCCGCCCCCACCCCCACUCCCAGUCUUCCUUUCCCUUCCAGCAGGGAGUGCCCCCUCCAUAAGAUCAUUACAUUUGGACAAUCAAGGUGCACAAUUAUAAGUGACCACAGCCAUGCACCUUGGACAUUAUUGGACAUUAAUGUGCGUAACUGCACAUGGCCCAUCCCAUCUGAAUAAGGUCCUACUCUCAGAUGCCCUUUGCAGUACAGCAGGGGUACUGAAUCACCAAGGCCCUUUUUCUUGGCCUGUUAUGUGUGUGAUUAUAUUUAUCCCAGUUUCUGUGUAAUAGACAUGAAAGCCUCCCCUGCCACACCCCACCUCCAAUCUUCCUUUCCCUUCCACCAGGGAGUGUCCACUCCAUAUACCCUUACAUUUGGACAAUCAAGGUGCACAAUUGUAAGUGAGCAUAGGCACUCACCUUGGACAUGAAUGUGCAUAACUGCACAUGGCCCAUCCCAUCUGAAUAAGGUCCUACUCUCAGACCCUUUUUGCAGUACAGCAGGGGUGCUGAUCACCAAGGCCCCUUUUCCUGGCCUGUUAUGUGUGUGAUUAUAUUUGUUCCAGUUCCUGUGUAAUAGACAUGGAAGCCUCCCCUGCCACACUCCACCCCCAAUCUUCCUUUCCCUUCUGGCAGGAAGUACCCGCUCCAUAAGACCCUUACAUUUGGACAGUCAAGGUGCACAAUUGUAUGUGACCACAACCAUGCACCUUGGACAUAAAUGUGUGUAACUGCACAUGGCCCAUCCCAUCUGAAUAAGGUCCUACUCUCAGACCCCUUUUGCAGUACAGUAGGUGUGCUGAUAACCAAGGCCCCUCUUCCUGGCCUGUUAACGUAUGUGAUUAUAUUUGUCUGGGUUCCAGUGUAUAAGACAUGGAAGCCUCCCCUGCCCCACCCCACCCUCAAUCUUCCUUUCCCUUCUGGCAGGGAGUGCCAGCUCCAUAAGAACCUUACAUUUGGACAGUCAAGGUGCACAAUUCUAAGUGACCGCAGCCAUGCACCUUGGUCAAUAAUGUGUGUAACUGCACACGGCCUAUCUCAUCUGAAUAAGGCCUUACUCUCAGACCCCUUUUGCAGUACAGCAGGGGUGCUGAUAACCAAGGCCCAUUUUCCUGGCCUGUUAUGUGUGUGAUUAUAUUUGUCCAGGUUUCUGUGUACUAGACAAGGAAGCCUCCUCUGCCCCAUCCCAUCUACGCAUAAUCUUUCUUUUCCUCCCAGCAGGGAGUGCUCACUCCAUAAGACCCUUACAUUUGGACAAUCAAGGUGCACAAUUGUAAGUGACCACAACCAUGCAUCUUGGAAAUUUAUGUGCAUAACUGCACAUGGCUUAUCCUAUUUGAAUAAAGUCCUACUCUCAGACCCCCUUUGCAGUAUAGCUGGGGUGCUGAUCACUGAGGCCUCUUUGCUUGGCUUGUCUAUAUUCUUGUGUACUAGAUAAGGGCACCUUCUCAUGGACUCCCUUUGCUUUUCAACAAGGAGUACCCACUACUUUUUAAGAUUCUUAUAUUUGUCCAAAGUACAUGGUUUUAAUUGACCACAACAAUGUCCCUUGGACAUUAAUGUAUGUAAUCACCACAUGGUUCAUCCUAAUUAAACAAAGUUCUACCUUCUCACCCUCCAUUUGCAGUAUACCAGGGUUGCUGACCCCCUAAGUCCCCUUUUCUUGGCUUGUUGACAUGCAUAAUUGCAUUUAUGUUGGUUCUUGUGCCCUAGACAAGGAUGCCCCACCUCUUUUCAAUAGUGGGUGCCCACUCCUUAUGAUCUUUACAUUUGAACAGUUAAUGUGAAUAAUUGCAGUUGUCCACAACCCUAUCACUUCUAGGACCAUUAUACCUCUUUUGCAUUACUGUGGGGUAUACUGUUUCCCUCCAAGGCCCCUUCUGGUGGACUAUCAACAUAUAAUUGAAAUUUUCUUUUGUCUUUGUCAGUAGAUUAAGGUCAUACCCCAUCACCUUUCCUUUGUAGUACAACAGGGUGUCCUGAUCAACCAAAGUCCUGUUGUUUUGGACUGUUAAUAUGUGCAAUUACAUUUGCUCCUGAUCUGUGCACUAGAUAAGGAUCCUACCUACUUUCUUAGUGUUUUUAGCAGGUAGUGCCCACUACUCAAGACUGUCACUUGGAAUGUUCAUGUGCACAAACUCAAUUCUCUAAGCAUGUUCCUGUACCACCUUUGCUUUAGAGCAGGGGGAUGAUAUUCACUAAGUGCCCCUUCUUUUGGACUUAAUAUGCAUUAAUGCAAUUGUCCACCUCUUCUUUUAGACUAAGAGUUGAUCUCCACAUAUUCCCCUUGCAUCAGGGGCAUGUUAAUUAUGAAUGAACCCUUUUCUUUUAAUAUUAAUGUCAUAAUUGUAUUUGUGGACCUGUGUAGGAGAAAAAGACCCUAUGUUCCUCCCAUUACCCUUUGGAUUGCUGCUGAGAAGUGUUAACUACUCAUAAUCUCAGCUCUUGGACAAUUAAUAGCAUUAAUAACAAUUAUCAAGGGCACUGAUCAUUAGAUAAGACUCCUGCUUCCUCGUUGCUUACAUCGGGGGUACUGACCCACUAAGGCCCCUUGUACUGUUAAUGUGAAUAUUUGCAAUUAUAUAUGUCUCCUUCUGGUAGAGUGGGAUAUUAUGCCCUAGUAUCCCCUUUGCAUUACUGCAGGGGCUGCUGACUACUCAAAACUUCUCCUGGGACUGUUAAUAGGCACAAUGGCAGUUAUCAAUGGUUUUCUCCCUCCCUGACCUUGUUAAGCAAGCGCCCCACCCCACCCUUAGUUUCCCAUGGCAUAAUAAAGUAUAAGCAUUGGAGUAUUCCAUGCACUUGUCUAUCAAACAGUGGUCCAUACUCCCAACCCUUUUGCAUUGCGCCAGUGUGUAAAAUCACAGGUAGCCAUGGUGUCAUGCUUUAUAUACGAAGUCUUCCCUCUCUCUGCCCCUUGUGUGCCCUUGGCCCCUUUUUACAGACUAUUGCUCACAAUCUCAGGUGUCCAUAUUUGCAGCUAUUAGGUAAGAUUGUGCUGUCUCCCUCUUCCCUUCCCUCUGCCCUGCCCCUUUUGCCUCUUUGCUGGGUAAUGUUGACCAGACAAGGCCCUUUCUCUUGGACUUAAACAAUUCUCAGUUGCACUUUCCUUGGUCCCACCCAUUAUACAUGAACCCCUCUACUUCCUUUCGCAUUGCUUCUGAGUAUGCUGACUACCCAAAGCCCCUUCUGUGUUAUUAAUAAACACAGUACUGAUUGUCCCAUUUUUCAGCCCAUCAGUCCAAGAUCUCCCUACCACUUUGGUGUGUUGGUGCAGUGUUGACUAUGAAAAGCAGGCCUGAACUAGGUGGAUAAGCCUUCACUCAUUUUCUUUCAUUUAUUAAUGAUCCUAGUUUCAAUUAUUGUCAGAUUCUGGGGACAAGAACCAUUCUUGCCCACCUGUGUUACUGCUUUACUGUGCAAAAUACUGAAGGCAAGUCAGACCCAGGGAGCUGGAUUGCCAUCCUUUAUUUUGUGUUUCCAGUGUACACUAUAAAAUUGUCUCCCCAGGAAGGAAGGUUGGCACUUUCUCUGCAUUCUUCUUUCCAGAGCAGAUUGCCUGGUUAAGAAUCUCUUGUUGUCCCCUUUGUAUAUUGUUAUUGUAAAGUGCCAAAUGCCAGGAUACAGCCAGAAAAAUUGCUUAUUAUUAUUAAAAAAAUUUUUUUAAGAAAGACAUCUGGAUUGUAGGGUGGACUCGAUAACCUGGUCAUUAUUUUUUUGAAGCCAAAAUAUCCAUUUAUACUAUGUACCUGGUGACCAGUGUCUCUCAUUUUAACUGAGGGUGGUGGGUCUGUGGAUAGAACACUGACUCUUGCUAUUUUAAUAUCAAAGAUAUUCUAGAGUGGAACUCUUAAGACCAGUAUCUUUGUGUGGGCUUUACCAGCAUUCACUUUUAGAAAAACUACCUAAAUUUUAUAAUCCUUUAAUUUCUUCAUCUGGAGCACCUGCCCCUACUUAUUUCAAGAAGAUUGCAGUAAAACGAUUAAAUGAGGGAACAUAUGCAGAGGUGCUUUUAAAAAGCAUAUGCCACCUUUUUUAUUAAUUAUUAUAUAAAAUGAAGCAUUUAAUUAUAGUAAUAAUUUGAAGUAGUUUGAAGUACCACACUGAGGUGAGGACUUAAAAAUGAUAAGACGAGUUCCCUAUUUUAUAAGAAAAAUAAGCCAAAAUUAAAUAUUCUUUUGGAUAUAAAUUUCAACAGUGAGAUAGCUGCCUAGUGGAAAUGAAUAAUAUCCCAGCCACUAGUGUACAGGGUGUUUUGUGGCACAGGAUUAUGUAAUAUGGAACUGCUCAAGCAAAUAACUAGUCAUCACAACAGCAGUUCUUUGUAAUAACUGAAAAAGAAUAUUGUUUCUCGGAGAAGGAUGUCAAAAGAUCGGCCCAGCUCAGGGAGCAGUUUGCCCUACUAGCUCCUCGGACAGCUGUAAAGAAGAGUCUCUGGCUCUUUAGAAUACUCUCUUCAUUGUUCCUAUCUGCCAAAUCAUUAUACUUCCUACAAGCAGUGCAGAGAGCUGAGUCUUCAGCAGGUCCAAGAAAUUUGAACACACUGAAGGAAGUCAGCCUUCCCACCUGAAGAUCAACAUGCCUGGCACUCUAGCACUUGAGGAUAGCUGAAUGAAUGUGUAUUUCUUUGUCUCUUUCUUUCUUGUCUUUGCUCUUUGUUCUCUAUCUAAAGUGUGUCUUACCCAUUUCCAUGUUUCUCUUGCUAAUUUCUUUCGUGUGUGCCUUUGCCUCAUUUUCUCUUUUUGUUCACAAGAGUGGUCUGUGUCUUGUCUUAGACAUAUCUCUCAUUUUUCAUUUUGUUGCUAUUUCUCUUUGCUCUCCUAGAUGUGGCUCUUCUUUCACGCUUUAUUUCAUGUCUCCUUUUUGGGUCACAUGCUGUGUGCUUUUUGUCCUUUUCUUGUUCUGUCUACCUCUCCUUUCUCUGCCUACCUCUCUUUUCUCUUUGUGAACUGUGAUUAUUUGUUACCCCUUCCCCUUCUCGUUCGUUUUAAAUUUCACCUUUUUUCUGAGUCUGGCCUCCUUUCUGCUGUUUCUACUUUUUAUCUCACAUUUCUCAUUUCUGCAUUUCCUUUCUGCCUCUCUUGGGCUAUUCUCUCUCUCCUCCCCUGCGUGCCUCAGCAUCUCUUGCUGUUUGUGAUUUUCUAUUUCAGUAUUAAUCUCUGUUGGCUUGUAUUUGUUCUCUGCUUCUUCCCUUUCUACUCACCUUUGAGUAUUUCAGCCUCUUCAUGAAUCUAUCUCCCUCUCUUUGAUUUCAUGUAAUCUCUCCUUAAAUAUUUCUUUGCAUAUGUGGGCAAGUGUACGUGUGUGUGUGUCAUGUGUGGCAGAGGGGCUUCCUAACCCCUGCCUGAUAGGUGCAGAACGUCGGCUAUCAGAGCAAGCAUUGUGGAGCGGUUCCUUAUGCCAGGCUGCCAUGUGAGAUGAUCCAAGACCAAAACAAGGCCCUAGACUGCAGUAAAACCCAGAACUCAAGUAGGGCAGAAGGUGGAAGGCUCAUAUGGAUAGAAGGCCCAAAGUAUAAGACAGAUGGUUUGAGACUUGAGACCCGAGGACUAAGAUGGAAAGCCCAUGUUCCAAGAUAGAUAGAAGCCUCAGGCCUGAAACCAACAAAAGCCUCAAGAGCCAAGAAAACAGAGGGUGGCCUGAAUUGGACCGAAGGCCUGAGUUGGAUGGAAGUCUCAAGGCUUGAGUUAGAAGUCUUAAGACCUGGGACAGGACACAUGGAAGGCCUAAGAACUGAGACUUGUGACACAAGGCCAACGACCUAAGAUUAGCCCAGGGUUGUAGCUGGAAGACCUACAACCCAAGGAUGGAAGGCCCCUGUCACAAAGCCUACCUAGAUGGAUAGAGGACCCAAGCGAAAAAGUUUCUGGCAUCACUACCACUACUGAUUAAACAAGAAUAAGAGAACAUUUUAUCAUCAUCUGCUUUAUUCACAUAAAUGAAGUUGUGAUGAAUAAAUCUGCUUUUAUGCAGACACAAGGAAUUAAGUGGCUUCGUCAUUGUCCUUCUACCUCAAAGAUAAUUUAUUCCAAAAGCUAAGAUAAAUGGAAGACUCUUGAACUUGUGAACUGAUGUGAAAUGCAGAAUCUCUUUUGAGUCUUUGCUGUUUGGAAGAUUGAAAAAUAUUGUUCAGCAUGGGUGACCACCAGAAAGUAAUCUUAAGCCAUCUAGAUGUCACAAUUGAAACAAACUGGGGAGUUGGUUGCUAUUGUAAAAUAAAAUAUACUGUUUUGAAAACUUUGUAUUUUGAUGUGACAAUUUCUAACUCACUGUCCCUAA